AGUGAACGCUGGCGGCAGGCCUAACACAUGCAAGUCGAGCGGCAGCGGGUCGUAGCAAUACGAUGCCGGCGAGCGGCGGACGGGUGAGGAAUACAUCGGAAUCUACCCAGUCGUGGGGGAUAACGUAGGGAAACUUACGCUAAUACCGCAUACGACCUGAGGGUGAAAGCAGGGGACCGCAAGGCCUUGCGCGAUUGGAUGAGCCGAUGUCGGAUUAGCUAGUUGGUGAGGUAAAGGCUCACCAAGGCGACGAUCCGUAGCUGGUCUGAGAGGAUGAUCAGCCACACUGGAACUGAGACACGGUCCAGACUCCUACGGGAGGCAGCAGUGGGGAAUAUUGGACAAUGGGCGCAAGCCUGAUCCAGCCAUGCCGCGUGUGUGAAGAAGGCCUUCGGGUUGUAAAGCUCUUUCGGCCGGGAAGAAAUCGCACGGGCUAAUACCCUGUGUGGGUGACGGUACCGGAAUAAGAAGCACCGGCUAACUACGUGCCAGCCGCCGCUGUAA
rnacentral:rRNA from 1 species